rnacentral:lncRNA from 1 species
GGGACAUGUAGUUUUCUCGCGGCAUUGUGGGAGUCGUGGUUCGUGUUCUGGCGGCGAGCUGGAUCUUCCGUGGCCUGGAGUUGAUAAGACUCCGGAGCCGCACUGGAUGUGUUCGAAUCUCAGUCCCCACCGUGACUCUGGACGUGUCACAGAAACUUUGUUUCCUCAUCUCCAAAGUGUAGACGAUGGGACGGAGGCCCCCAGAGGGAAGUCACUUACCAGAGUGUGUAGGCUCUUCAUCCAGAGCUCAAGUCUUCUGACUCUUGGGGACAGUGAGACCUGCCGCUCCGGCCCCCUCUCCAACUUGCCUGAGUGGAGUGGCCCGCACUGACCAGGAGGGAGCUCCCAGUUGGCCCAGCAUGAACUGGAAGGUUCUUGAACACGUGCCCCUGCUGCUGUAUAUCUUGGCAGCGAAAACAUUAAUUCUCUGCCUGGCGUUUGCCGGAGCCAAAGUAUACCAAAGGAAAAAAUUGGAAGCAAAACGGCAAAAACUGGAAGCUGAAAAGAAGCAGCAGUCAGAGAAGAAGGAUAACUAAAGGGAAAUCAAAGAUUUUGUAAUUUAAAUGUCAGCUUGAGUGGACUCCAGCUGAGAUGAAAGAUUUAAUGAUUGAAUGGUAUGUCAGAAGAUAAACUCCCAGCCUAUAGUCUAACUUAAAACGACGUGAAUUUUUCUGUGCUUUUAAAAGAACCAGUAUUUUGUUUACGAAAAUAAAAUACCUUUG